CGCAACUCCUAUGGAAUCCGCUACGCAAACUACGUAACUACUGUCAAAGUUUCCCGCGAAACUACUGGCACAUGAAAUCUGUAUCAAAACAUUUCUGCACUGGUGAUAUCCUUGCAUUGGGUAACCCAGCAGUCUCUUAGCACCUUACCAAUAGGAGUAGAGGAGCGGUCAUUUCGUGGCAGUUCAGCAGCCUGUUCCUGAUAUUGUCGCAGGYAUCUAAAAGUCAAGACGGGCCAUGAGUGAGGUCCAGGAUAGGGAUUGUGAUCGCCAGAACUCCCAUGUUGACAGGAAAUGGGACAGUCAGUUGUCAUUUCUCCCAGACAAGCUACAACAGAGACUGAUGCCAUUCCAAAAGGAGGGGGUCAAAUUCGCCCUAUCAAAGAAUG